GCAGCGCGCUUAAUCCCCUCUCCUCUCGCACCAGGAAACAGAGGCAAGAAAAAGUCUCUUGUCUCUUCGGCAGCUCUGCGUCCGUCUCUGCAGCUCCUUUAAGCGGCGCGCUUAAACCCCUCUCCUUGCACACCAGGAAACAAAGAGGGAAGAAAAGGUCUCUUGCCUCUUCGCAGCUCCAGACUUCUCCCGGACUCCCUCCCGGCUAGCCGUGGUGCACUAACUCCUUCAGGCUCUGUUCACACAGCCAACCCCAGUCCUCUCCCUGGGAUCCGACCGAAGCCCGAGCCUCAGCUUCCAGUCCCCCCCUGUCCCAGCAGAACAGUGAAUAAAGGAUAGAUUUCAACCUGGCAGGACACAAAUAUGAGUUUGCCAAGUAAAUUCUAACUUUGGGGUACUUUAGAGGUCCUCUGAGGUAUCUUGAAGAGAAAUAUUUAACUAAGAUUAUCUGCCUACUCAAAGAUGUGGUGAAGUUACUCUAAAGCAUGCUCUGGAGCCAGACGCCCUUCCAGCCAACCAGCCAAACGUUCCUUUUUUUUCAAUUUUUCUCUAUACUAUAUUCCACAUUUCUUUUUUUUAAUGUUUAUUUUAUACUGGAGCAUAGUUGAUUAACUAUGUUAUAUUGCUUUCAGGUGUACAACAAAGAUAUUCAGUUAUACAUAUACAUGUACCUAUUCUUUUUCAAAUUCUUUUCCCAUUUAGGUUAUUACAGAAUAUUGAGCAGAGUUCCCUGUGCUGUACAAUAGGUCCUUGUUGGUUACCUAUUUUAAAUAUAGCAGUGUGUACAAUAGUUCUAAAGUUUAAAAAUUCUAAUCCAGAGGGGAAAAAUUGCUGAGUCAGGGAAUAUGGAAACUGUGGCCCCUUCCCUACUGACCGCUUUGUGUUGGUCAGUUUAGGAAUAUCAGGAAAAGGAAACAAACAACUUCUCAUCUUCCUAGCCGAAAUUUUUUCUAGUCCCAGUAUUGGCUAAUCAGAAACUGUCAUUUUAAUUAAAUCUCUGCUUUCUUCUAUUUAAGUAAGACCAACCCUCCUCUUUUCUCUCCAGGGCACAAAUAGGCAUUGCAUAUAAAUCAAGGUUUCUCUCUGCAGUCCUCCCACAAUUACUGAAAUUCCUCACAUGCUUCAAAUACAAAAUGACCUUUGCAUUCCUCUCUGCUGAUUUCAUCACUAAACAAAUUUUAUCCUAUAACAUUUGUAGAUGCAUUCAUCAAUUAAUCCAUAUUCAAUAUUUAUUGAGUGUCUGUUUUGUUCCAGGCAUUCUGCUAGGUCCGCAUAAUAUAACCAUGAAUAAGAAAUCACGGUCCCUGUUCUUAAAGAACACGUUGCAGUUUUUUGUGUUGUUUUAUUUUCCAUAAGUUUGUUUAUAAAAUAACAGUACCACCUAUCAGACAUCAUUUACUAAAGAUACUGAAUGAAAUUUUUUCAUUUCUUCAACCAUAAUUGGUAUUAGUGGCAAUUGUACUACUGUCAGACCUUAUAACUGGUCAAGUUUGUUGAAUGUCAGGAAAAAAAUGUCUUACGGAGUUUAAAAUAAUAAAGAGUAAAGCCAAGAAAGAGGCCCCUCUUAUCCAUUACCAAAUAUCCUUUUAAUGACUCAAGUGUAAAUGAAUGAAACAGAAUAAUUAAAUUUCUCUUAAAUACACAUACAUUUACAUAGUAACAGGAAAAUCUGAGUGGAAUACAUUUUCAUUUUUAAUGAAACUAAAACAUUUGUUCAGAAGAUGAACUUCAUACCUAGCAGGCUUUUCAGCUACCAUCCUACUUACUCACUUACUGUGAGUGCUAAUCUUGGCCUUUGAGAGAAUAUAUUAUUUACCAAUAAGCAUACUUGAUCACCUCAAUGAC